rnacentral:lncRNA from 1 species
CUGACGAGGCCAGGAGUCUACCAGACUCAACAGCGACUCCCACGAUGGAAGAGCCGAGGCUCGGCUCGACUGAAGGCAUCCCUGCGACACCUGUAGCCCCCUUUGGACCAUGCCCGAUCACCACUGAGUCCCAGGAAAAGCCAAGCGCUCAGAAGGGACCCCUGUCCCAAGCCAGUUAGUGUUGUUUGGGAUCUUUCCCCUUUGUUCUCUCUUUUUUUUUGUUUUUCUCUUACUUUUCACAUCUUAUUUGUUUUCUUAUUUCUAUCAGCCAGAAGCAGAAGGCUACCCCAACCGGGCUAGUGCCACAAAAGGCGAUUAAGGUAUGGGCAUCGUUGACUCCCGAAUCGAUGAGGCUGAAGUCCCCACCUCCCAUGGGUCAUACUGAGGGGGGUUAGACCUAGAGGGAGCAGGAGGCGCAGGAGGAGAUGCCGGAGCCACAAGUGGUAAGGGAUGAGGUCCCUGAGGCCAAGGGGCCUGAGUCUCAUCCCACCGUGGGGAGGGUCCUGGCCCUGUAGGCCUUGGAUCCGUCUGGGGAUGCCGAUCUAGGCAGGG